GACGAACGCUGGCGGCGUGCUUAACACAUGCAAGUCGAGCGGUAAGGCCCUUUCGGGGGUACGACGAGCGGCGAACGGGUGAGUAACACGUGGGUGACCUGCCCUCAGCUCUGGGAUAAGCCUGGGAAACCGGGUCUAAUACUGGAUAUGACUCCAUGACGCAUGUUGUGGGGUGGAAAGCCUUGUGCGGCUGAGGAUGGGCCCGCGGCCUAUCAGCUUGUUGGUGGGGUGAUGGCCUACCAAGGCGACGACGGGUAGCCGGCCUGAGAGGGC
rnacentral:rRNA from 1 species